CCUACGGGAGGCAGCAGUGAGGAAUAUUGGUCAAUGGGCGCGAGCCUGAACCAGCCAAGUAGCGUGAAGGAUGACUGCCCUACGGGUUGUAAACUUCUUUUAUAAAGGAAUAAAGUGAGGCACGUGUGCCUUUUUGUAUGUACUUUAUGAAUAAGGAUCGGAUAACUCCGUGCCAGCAGCCGCGGUAAUCCGGAGGUGCCGGGCGGUGUGCGGAUUUAUUUGGCUUAAAGGGAGCGUCGAUGGGUUGUUAAGUCAGUUGUGAAAGUUUGCGGCUCAACCGUAAAAUUGCAAUUGAUACUGGCAGUCUUGAGUACAGUUGAGGUAGGCGGAAUUCGUGGUGUAGCGGUGAAAUGCUUAGAUAUCACGAAGAACUCCGAUUGCGAAGGCAGCUUACUAAACUGCCACUGACAUUGAUGCUCGAAAGUGUGGGUAUCAAACAGGAUUAGAUACCCUUGUAGUC
rnacentral:rRNA from 1 species